rnacentral:rRNA from 1 species
UUAUUAUUUUUUUUUUUUUUCCGUCAGAUGAACGCUGGCGGCGUGCUUAACACAUGCAAGUCGAACGAUGAAGGGAGCUUGCUCCGUGGAUUAGUGGCGAACGGGUGAGUAACACGUGAGUAACCUGCCCUUAACUCUGGGAUAAGCCUGGGAAACUGGGUCUAAUACCGGAUAUGACUCCUCAUCGCAUGGUGGGGGGUGGAAAGCUUUAUUGUGGUUUUGGAUGGACUCGCGGCCUAUCAGCUUGUUGGUGAGGUAAUGGCUCACCAAGGCGACGACGGGUAGCCGGCCUGAGAGGGUGACCGGCCACACUGGGACUGAGACACGGCCCAGACUCCUACGGGAGGCAGCAGUGGGGAAUAUUGCACAAUGGGCGAAAGCCUGAUGCAGCGACGCCGCGUGAGGGAUGACGGCCUUCGGGUUGUAAACCUCUUUCAGUAGGGAAGAAGCGAAAGUGACGGUACCUGCAGAAGAAGCGCCGGCUAACUACGUGCCAGCAGCCGCGGUAAUACGUAGGGCGCAAGCGUUAUCCGGAAUUAUUGGGCGUAAAGAGCUCGUAGGCGGUUUGUCGCGUCUGCUGUGAAAGACCGGGGCUCAACUCCGGUUCUGCAGUGGGUACGGGCAGACUAGAGUGAUGUAGGGGAGACUGGAAUUCCUGGUGUAGCGGUGAAAUGCGCAGAUAUCAGGAGGAACACCGAUGGCGAAGGCAGGUCUCUGGGCAUUAACUGACGCUGAGGAGCGAAAGCAUGGGGAGCGAACAGGAUUAGAUACCCUGGUAGUCCAUGCCGUAAACGUUGGGCACUAGGUGUGGGGGACAUUCCACGUUUUCCGCGCCGUAGCUAACGCAUUAAGUGCCCCGCCUGGGGAGUACGGCCGCAAGGCUAAAAUCAGGAAUUUUUUUUGCGCGG